AAAUAAAUAUAUGAGAGUUUUACAGUGAAGAUAUAUGUGAAAU
rnacentral:guide_RNA from 1 species